ensembl:lncRNA
CUGACUCAUAAGGUCCUGUGAUCAGUUAAAUAAUAUUUAAAAAGUGAUCCUAAAAAUGUGACCUUGUCAUUUCAAAAUGUUUGCAUCUGAAAUGGAUUUCUGUACAAUAGGACACAUGGGGAGUUAUGUCGUGGAAGUGUAUGCUUAAUACCAAAUUCUAUUGAAGGGGCUAUUGUCUAAAUUUUUGGCCCAGAUUUGGUCCCUUCGAGCCUGCUAGUAUGAGAUGGGAAAAAGUUGCUCCUUUAAUACUUAUUUCCAUUUUGAAAGUCAGGACACCUGAAUGAAGAUAUUAGAAGCCUCUUUUUAAAUUUCUUUUAUAAUUAGCAAAAUUGUAUUUAAGAAGAGUCUUCCCAUAUUAUAAGUUUAUUUUGAGUAUUGCAUUCACUUUAAUAUACUGAAGGAACAAAGGCUGGGCACUUAUAAUCACAAAGCUCAGGCAAUGGGACUUUUGGGUUGUAUUUUCUAAAAGCUAUGUAUUGCUUUUAGCUUAUAUUUAAUAUUGCAGUUACUUGGAAAAAUGUGAGUAAAGUUAAUUAAUAUUACAGGCUGAAACUUCUGUUUUGUGGGAAACAAUUCUGAUUAGUACAUCAAUGGUUGAAGAAAACAUGAUCACACUGACUCCUAAAUGGAUCUUUCAUUAAAUGUUUAACAAGAUACAUUAGGUACAUUCAGCAAAAGAUACUUUCUGUAUAUAUACUUUCAGUUGAACUAUAAAAUUUUCCCAGUCAUUUCCGUCACACCUUCCUAUUGUUUUGAAAAUUACAAAAGUAAUAGUGCAUGGUUAAAAUAAUUCAGAAAGAGGUAUGAAAAGUGAAAGUUUCUUUCAAUACCAUCCCCUCACCAAAAUUCUCCACCCCUCUUAGAGGAUACCAGUGUUAAAUUUGUUGUGUAAACUUCCAGACCUUUUUUUCUAAGCACUUUUCUGUGGAGGUACAUAGACACUUUUUUUUUUUUUUCAAAAAUAUAGAAUAACACUAUACACAUUCUAUAACUUUUUUUCACUUAAUAUCUUAGGGAAGGUUCGAGUUCCAGAUCAGAUGGAGUUGACACACACCCUCCUUUUGUUCUCACUGAACACAACUAUAAAACCUGGGUAGAACAUAUGGCCUGGCUAUUGGAGGACUCAGAAGUAAACAGCAACACACAGAGUGGGGAGGAACACCAGAAUUCUAAGUAUAACUGAAGUGAUGUCCAUGCCGAGGGAGUUCACAGCAGUGUGGCAUACUGGGCAGACUGGCACAACCACACGGCCUGCCUCCGAUAAGGAGCUAGACUUACGGGAGAGGAAUAAGAAAAGCAAAGUGUGGAACAGUCUUGAAGCAUACGGAAAACACAAGUGGAAGCACGUCUGCUCCCAGUGUGCUAACUGUGCUCAUCUACACACAGGGUUUCACGAAGCUAACUGUGUGGCAGGAGGUGAGACAAUGCCUGCUGCUUGGAAUCUUGCUACGUGUGUAUGGUUUCCAUUUAAACUUAAAACACUGGCUGUGUUUACUAUGAAAGAUAGUCUGAAAUAGUUGAGUGACUCCUUGUGAAAACUGACAUUGCCAUUAAUUUUUCUUUGUUUCUGUGACUUAGGUGUUGACUAAUACGUGUGAUGACUACCAUAUCAGUUU